AGCUUGCUUCUCUGUCGGCGAGUGGCGAACGGGUGAGUAUAGCAUCGGAACGUGCCAAGUAGUGGGGGAUAACCAAACGAAAGUUUGGCUAAUACCGCGUAAGCUCCAAGGAGGAAAGUAGGGGACCUAAAUAAGGCCUUACGCUAUUUGAUCGGCCGAUGUCGGAUUAGCUAGUUGGUGGGGUAAUGGCUCACCAAGGCAAUGAUCCGUAGCGGGUCUGAGAGGACGAUCCGCCACACUGGGACUGAGACACGGCCCAGACUCCUACGGGAGGCAGCAGUGGGGAAUUUUGGACAAUGGGGGAAACCCUGAUCCAGCCAUGCCGCGUGUAUGAAGAAGGCCUUAGGGUUGUAGAGUACUUUUGUUAGGGAAGAAAAGCUAGUUUUUAAUAAAAAUUAGUGAUGACGGUACCUAAAGAAUAAGCACCGGCUAACUACGUGCCAGCAGCCGCGGUAAUACGUAGGGUGCAAGCGUUAAUCGGAAUUAUUGGGCGUAAAGCGAGUGCAGACGGUUACUUAAGCCAGAUGUGAAAUCCCCAAGCUUAACUUGGGACGUGCAUUUGGAACUGGGUGACUAGAGUGUGUCAGAGGGAGGUAGAGUUCCACAUGUAGCGGUGGAAUGCGUAGAGAUGUGGAGGAAUACCGAUGGCGAAGGCAGCCUCCUGGGAUAACACUGACGUUGAGGCUCGAAAGCGUGGGGAGCAAACAGGAU
rnacentral:rRNA from 1 species